rnacentral:rRNA from 1 species
UACGGAGGGUGCAAACGUUGCUCGGAAUCAUUGGGCGUAAAGCGCACGUAGGCGGCGGCAUAAGCGGAAUGUGAAAGCCCAGGGCUCAACCCUGGAAGUGCAUCCCGAACUGUGUCGCUUGAAUCUCGGAGGGGGACAGAGAAUUCCCGGUGUAGAGGUGAAAUUCGUAGAUAUCGGGAGGAAUACCAGUGGCGAUGGCGCUGUCCUGGACGAAGAUUGACGCUGAGGUGCGAAAGCGCGGGGAGCAAACAGG